UUCACAAAGUGAGUCUUCGUAACUUUAUUUACAAAAAGAGACUUGGAUACUAUCCCUAGUUUCAUUAAGAUUCCCCUUUUAAAAACCGCCAUAAUAUCUCGGCCACGAUUAAAAUUUCUCACGCGUCAGACGCGUCUCCUCUCGCCUUUCUUUCGGGCGGAGGUGGCGCCAUCUCGGCUCGUUAGGCGGGGAGGAGGACCCGCGUUUCAACGACGAUGACAACGCCACGGGUGGGGCCCCGGUGGCCGAGGAGCCAAGCCCUCGAAAUUAGGCGCCAACGUCGGACGCACGCCUUCUUCGUGUCGCGGAAACACAGUGUAUGUACGCAAUGAACGGGGCGAGCUAUUUUCGAAAGGAAAUGUUUGUAUAAUUCGGUGACGCAUCGUUGAAAUAGCUUGAGAGCUGUAACUCGAUGAUUCGACUUCAACGUUUAUGAACCUCCUCAUGAAUAUAAAGUCGUUGGACACGGGUGAAUAGAUGAAGGCAAAAAUGAAUACUGGAGAGAAUAAAUGAUGGUUAAGGGUGAUAAUUAGAAUGCGGAUUUUUACACGCGGAGAAGAAGCUCGAAAAGAGGAUAGAAAAAUGAAGCUGUGCAAUAAUUUAACUUUUACUUCGAGUUACGUUAUAAAUUACUUUAACGCGUUAAUUGUAACUUAUAAAACGGGAGAAUGUAAAAAUUAUAAAAGGGGAAGAAUUAUUCUCUUCUUGAUUAUCAACUUAGAAAUAUGAAUUUGUCGAGAAUAAUUAAAUAUUUAUUUAAAACGAUGUACAAUGUGGUUUUCUUUCAUUAAAACAUUUAUUUCAUUUGAGAA